UUUCCAUACAUACAGAAGUAGUACAUAUCCAAGUAGUUGCUUGCUCUCCUUGUUGCGCUGCUUUUGUGCUGAUGCAACGCGGGGCCUACAUGCACUGAAUGGAUGAAUUCACAACGCCCCUAAGAAGUUGUUAUAUAGAUGGCCCUUUAAGUAACAGGCACAGGAAAAAGACGGUAAACAAACCCAAAUCAUAGCCUAUCUUUAAGCACUAACAUGAUUUAUUAUGAUUAUAAAAUGAAUAAAGAAUAGGGUCCACAUGCAGAUCGUGGUGCCGUUUUUGCUCAUAUCCUGUCCGCUAGCCACAAAAAUGACUAGAAGCAUCGAAGAAGAACGAAUAUGCCCGGACGCGGGGCGUCCUACAGAGAGAAGAGAACGCCAAAACAUUCUCAGUUCGCUUUCAAGGCAUGUCAUUUUGAUCGUUAUUUGUUUAAACCGUACGAUGAUAAGCUUGCAGUGAAACAAAGACAAUUGCUUGUGGGUGACGAGUAAACUUCGAAAACGGGAAGUAACUGGCGAGGAUCAUGAGCCUACUGUAGACCCCUAAAUUUCCAUGURCGCACGGCAAACUGUAGUGAAGAAACGGUGAGAUCACUUAGAAAAAAGGCUGAAAAGAUUUUAAAUCGAGAAAGAAAUGUCCGUUUUGUCGACUGGUCUUAUUAAUGGCAUACAUGCAUGUGUCCUACAGAGUACAAGCCAUUUCCUUUAUUUUUUUUUUAUGUCGCUUAAUGGAGACACAUAGCAGGAGGUUCCACGUUAUCACCUCCACAGACACCAUUAUCGCUGAACGACACCCAACGAUACGUGAUCACAGAAACUGAACUUAAAACACAUACAAAUGUGAAGGCAAACAAGCUAAAUUACAAAAUAAUGAGAGAAAAUUUAUUACUUCCUCGGUUUUUUCUUUCAGCUGUGAUAUUUUUAGGUAGUUUAAGGGCUGUAUAGAACAAGACUUCCUAAUUACGUUCAAAUACUGUCGUAAUUAAAUAGGAAAACUAACUUGACACUUACUAUUAUCAUCGUAUAUAAUGAAUGGUUCUGCUCGGCAAGGUAGGGUUCCAAAUCCCCUAUAGUAAAUCCAGUUAAAUUCAACGAGAACAUCGAUCUGAAGCAUCACGUUUUGAAGAAAAACCACGUCAUCCAUCACCAACCACUUCAGGUCUUACUUUUAGUAUUUUUGACAAUUUGCUUAGCUUUUGGUAGGAAAUUAAACAAUAUGGCUUUCAAAAA